UACGAAGGGGGCUAGCGUUGUUCGGAAUUACUGGGCGUAAAGCGUGCGCAGGCGGCUGCUCAAGUCAGGGGUGAAAGCCCAGAGCUCAACUCUGGAAUUGCCUUUGAGACUGAGUGGCUUGAGUACGGGAGAGGUGAGUGGAAUUCCCAGUGUAGAGGUGAAAUUCGUAGAUAUUGGGAAGAACACCGGUGGCGAAGGCGGCUCUCUGGACCGACACUGACGCUGAGGCGCGGAAAGCGUGGGGGAGCAAACAGG
rnacentral:rRNA from 1 species